rnacentral:miRNA from 1 species
UAAUCUCAGCUGGCAAAAGUGAG